CACACUCCGGUCGUCCGAUCCCAGCUCUAGACCACUAGCUGCGUGAGCUGGAGCAAGGGCUGAGCCUCUCUGAUUCUUCAUGUGUUAAAAAAAAAAAAAAAAGUUGAGAAAAGCUGAAAUUGGUAAGGCUGGUCCUGGGAACACGCUCACCCCCUCCUCUACAGCUCCCCCCAGCGCGCGCUUCUCCUUUCCAGCCUGAAGUCUCCUCCGUCGUUGUCACCGUGACAUUCAGCACACCCACAAGAAGAACGCUGUCCCCGGAAGCUGCCGUGAGAAGUCUGAGGUCCCAUGAAAGGAACUAAGAGGGAGACGUUAAGGAGAAGGGACCCGGGACAGGCUUGAAUGGAACGGCUGCCUCCCUCAGCCCAGGCCUCUCCUGACGGGAAUGAUGAAGCGGUGGGGAGACAGCGGAUUGAAAGAGAAGUCGGCUCAGCGGGGAAGCUCAGAUUGCCUUCCCGGACCACAGGCUGGGAACCAGGAGAGGAGACUGCGAGAUUGACAGGCCCGGUGCUGUCUGUAAUUAGAAAAUAAAUUACUUUGCCUCAAAGAAGCACGCUUGGUCCUAGCAGCAGGAUAAGGGGAUCAGAGGCGAGGAGCCAUCCACAGCCUGACGGGUGCAGAGCCAGCGCCUAUCAGCCUGUCCAGGCGGCCGAGGCCCCGACGAGGUGAGGGGGCAGGGGUCCGGGGCG
rnacentral:lncRNA from 1 species